rnacentral:rRNA from 1 species
AGUGAACGCUGGCGGUAUGCCUAACACAUGCAAGUCGAACGGCAGCACAGUAAGAGCUUGCUCUUACGGUUGGCGAGUGGCGGACGGGUGAGGAAUACAUCGGAAUCUACUUUUUCGUGGGGGAUAACGUAGGGAAACUUACGCUAAUACCUCAUACGACCUACGGGUGAAAGCAGGGGAUCUUCGGACCUUUCGCGAUUGAAUGAGCCGAUGUCGGAUUAGCUAGUUGGCGGGGUAAAGGCCCACCAAGGCGACGAUCCGUAGCUGGUCUGAGAGGAUGAUCAGCCACACUGGAACUGAGACACGGUCCAGACUCCUACGGGAGGCAGCAGUGGGGAAUAUUGGACAAUGGGCGCAAGCCUGAUCCAGCCAUACCGCGUGGGUGAAGAAGGCCUUCGGGUUGUAAAGCCCUUUUGUUGGGAAAGAAAAGCAGCAGGUUAAUACCCCGCUGUUCUGACGGUACCCAAAGAAUAAGCACCGGCUAACUUCGUG